AUUGAACGCUGGCGGCAUGCCUUACACAUGCAAGUCGAACGGUAACAGGUCUUCGGAUGCUGACGAGUGGCGAACGGGUGAGUAAUACAUCGGAACGUGCCUAGUAGUGGGGGAUAACUACUCGAAAGAGUGGCUAAUACCGCAUGAGAUCUACGGAUGAAAGCAGGGGAUCGCAAGACCUUGUGCUACUAGAGCGGCCGAUGGCAGAUUAGGUAGUUGGUGGGAUAAAAGCUUACCAAGCCGACGAUCUGUAGCUGGUCUGAGAGGACGAUCAGCCACACUGGGACUGAGAAACGGCCCAGACUCCUACGGGAGGCAGCAGUGGGGAAUUUUGGACAAUGGGCGCAAGCCUGAUCCAGCAAUGCCGCGUGCAGGAUGAAGGCCUUCGGGUUGUAAACUGCUUUUGUACGGAACGAAAAGCCCCGGGUUAAUACCCUGGGGUCAUGACGGUACCGUAAGAAUAAGCACCGGCUAACUACGUGCCAGCCGCCGCAGUAA
rnacentral:rRNA from 1 species